GUUAGCGGCCAGGCCUGAACCCCAGUGGGAUAUUCUACUUCCCCAUCCCAGGAAUGGAGGGGGACUCCAGCGAAAUUACAGGGAAUUCGUGGUCACGGGACCGGCCUCCGCCAAUCGCUCGUCUGGGCCUGGUGGAAAACAGAGAGCAUUAUUUGGUUUAAUUGAUUCAAAAACACCAGAGGACCACGACCAGGACACCAUGAGCCCCCAUUCCUACACCAGUGCCUCACAUGCUCUCUCCCCAAUGCCUCCGUUUCUCCAGAAAAGCUAGAGGAACCUUUUCCUCAUCCCCUUCGAAGGAAAAGAUGAGUGAGGAUCUCCGCGUUGGAGGAAGAGGGAGUCGAAAGAGGCUUCCACUCUUUGAAAAAGACCCAAUGGUGGUUGGGCUUCGGGUCACGUGACACCUUCUUUGUGGCUCCGGAAGAGGAUUGUGAAGUUUAGGUUUCGUGGAAGAAACCGAUAAUUGAGGAAAAAAAAAAAUCAAGAUUUGGGGGGAAUUACCUACAAAGAUGUAAGGUGUGUUAAUUUGGGCGCUUCUUGGAUUCUACCCUGAGGAGGAGGCGCGUGGUGAGAGGAGAGCUCCACCAGCUGCGCGCUCGUGUACGCCGUCCGCGCCCGCUUGGACGCCGCCGACCCCGGGGGGCUCUUGUCCCCUCCCCCGCCGCCGCCGCCACCGCCCCCGCUGCCACCACUGCCUCCGCCGCCGCCGCCACCGCCGCCGCCACCACAGCCCUCUGCUGGAUCCGAGGGGGAGGGGUGGGAAGGGGAGAAAAUGAAAUAAAAGAUAAUUACUGAAC